GAUGAACGCUAGCGGCAGGCUUAACACAUGCAAGUCGAGGGGUAUAGGCUUUCGGGCCUAGAGACCGGCGCACGGGUGCGUAACGCGUAUGCAAUCUGCCUUACACUAAGGGGAUAGCCCAGAGAAAUUUGGAUUAAUACCUUAUAGUAUAUUGAUGUGGCAUCACAUUAUUAUUAAAGAUUUAUCGGUGUAAGAUGAGCAUACGUCCCAUUAGCUAGUUGGUGUGGUAACGGCAUACCAAGGCGAUGAUGGGUAGGGGUCCUGAGAGGGAGAUCCCCCGACAUGGUACUGAGACACGGACCAGACUCCUACGGGGAGGCAGCAGUGAGGAAUAUUGGACAAUGGGCGCAAGCCUGAUCCAGCCAUGCCGCGUGCAGGAUGACGGUCCUAUGGAUUGUAAAACUG
rnacentral:rRNA from 1 species